rnacentral:rRNA from 2 species
UCCUGGCGGCGGCCUACCAUGCAAGUCGAGCGAAGUCUUCGGACUUAGCGGCGGACGGGUGAGUAACGCGUGGGAACGUGCCCUUUGCUUCGGAAUAGCCCCGGGAAACUGGGAGUAAUACCGAAUGUGCCCUACGGGGGAAAGAUUUAUCGGCAAAGGAUCGGCCCGCGUUGGAUUAGGUAGUUGGUGGGGGUAAUGGCCUACCAAGCCGACGAUCCAUAGCUGGUUUGAGAGGAUGAUCAGCCACACUGGGACUGAGACACGGCCCAGACUCCUACGGGAGGCAGCAGUGGGGAAUCUUAGACAAUGGGCGCAAGCCUGAUCUAGCCAUGCCGCGUGAUCGAUGAAGGCCUUAGGGUUGUAAAGAUCUUUCAGGUGGGAAGAUAAUGACGGUACCACCAGAAGAAGCCCCGGCUAACUCCGUGCCAGCAGCCGCGGUAAUACGGAGGGGGCUAGCGUUAUUCGGAAUUACUGGGCGUAAAGCGCACGUAGGCGGAUCGGAAAGUCAGAGGUGAAAUCCCAGGGCUCAACCCUGGAACUGCCUUUGAAACUCCCGAUCUUGAGGUCGAGAGAGGUGAGUGGAAUUC